rnacentral:rRNA from 1 species
CCUACGGGAGGCAGCAGUGGGGAAUAUUGCACAAUGGGGGAAACCCUGAUGCAGCGACGCCGCGUGAGUGAAGAAGUAAUUCGUUAUGUAAAGCUCUAUCAGCAGGGAAGAAAAUGACGGUACCUGAGUAAGAAGCCCCGGCUAACUACGUGCCAGCAGCCGCGGUAAUACGUAGGGGGCAAGCGUUAUCCGGCUUUACUGGGUGUAAAGGGAGCGUAGACGGCAGGGCAAGUCUGGAGUGAAAGGCGGGGGCUCAACCCCCGGACUGCUCUGGAAACUGUACGGCGGGAGGGCAGGAGAGGUAAGUGGAAUGCCUAGGGUAGCGGUGAAAUGCGUAGAUAUUAGGAGGAACACCAGUGGCGAAGGCGGCUGACUGGACUGUAACUGACGUUGAGGCGCGAAAGCGUGGGGAGCAAACAGGAUUAGAUACCCCUGUAGUC